rnacentral:rRNA from 1 species
AUAUUAAUAAGCGGAGGAAAAGAAACUAACAAGGAUUCCCCUAGUAACGGCGAGUGAAGCGGGAAGAGCUCAAAUUUGAAAUCUCCCUGGUACCCAGGGCGAAUUGUAGUUGGUAGAAGCGUUUUCGGGGGUCGGCUCGGGCUUAAGUCGUCUGGAACGACGCGUCAUGGAGGGUGAGAAUCCCGUCUGUGGUCUGAAGUCCGAUCCUGUGUGAUGCGCUCUCAAAGAGUCGGGUUGUUUGGGAUUGCAGCCCUAAAUAGGUGGUAAAUACCAUCUAAAGCUAAAUACUGGCAAGAGACCGAUAGCGCACAAGUA